UACGUAGGGUGCAAGCGUUAUCCGGAAUUAUUGGGCGUAAAGAGCUCGUAGGCGGUUUGUCGCGUCUGCUGUGAAAACUGGAGGCUCAACCUCCAGCCUGCAGUGGGUACGGGCAGACUAGAGUGCGGUAGGGGAGAUUGGAAUUCCUGGUGUAGCGGUGAAAUGCGCAGAUAUCAGGAGGAACAUCAGUGGCGAAAGCGGCUUCCUGGACCCAGUACC
rnacentral:rRNA from 1 species